rfam:Capsicum annuum cultivar Zunla-1 unplaced genomic scaffold scaffold7652, whole genome shotgun sequence
ACCUUAUGAUUUGGGCAUUCCAUUAAAUUGCUUUUGAAUUAUUUUGAAGCCUCAUAUAAUAGUUCGCCAUUAAGUUGGCAAAAAUUAGUGAUUUCAUCCCUUAGGUU